CAAGUCGAACGGUCCGCUUCGGCGGAUAGUGGCGCACGGGUGCGUAACACGUAUGCAACCUACCUUACAUUGGGGGAUAGCCUUUCGAAAGGGAGAUUAAUACCGCAUAAGACAGUAGCUGGGCAUCCAGUAGCUGUUAAAGAUUUAUCGAUGUAAGCUGGGCAUGCGUCCAAUUAGUUAGUUGGUGAGGUAACGGCUCACCAAGACGAUGAUUGGUAGGGGAACUGAGAGGUCAAUCCCCCACACUGGCACUGAGAUACGGGCCAGACUCCUACGGGAGGCAGCAGUAGGGAAUAUUGGGCAAUGGACGCAAGUCUGACCCAGCCAUGCCGCGUGCAGGAAGAAGGCGUUCUGCGUUGUAAACUGCUUUUAUAUAGGAAGAAACGACCCUUGCGAGGGGCAUUGACGGUAUUAUAUGAAUAAGCACCGGCUAACUCCGUGCCAGCAGCCGCGGUAAUACGGAGGGUGCAAGCGUUGUCCGGAUUUAUUGGGUUUAAAGGGUGCGCAGGUGGUUUAUUAAGUCAGUGGUGAAAGACGGUCGCUCAACGAUUGCAGUGCCAUUGAUACUGAUAGACUUGAGUAAAGUAGAGGUGGGCGGAAUUGAUAGUGUAGCGGUGAAACGCAUAGAUAUUAUCAAGAACUCCGAUUGCGAAGGCAGCUCACUUGGCUUUUACUGACACUCAUGCACGAAAGUGUGGGUAUCAAACAGGAUUAGAUACCCUGGUAGUCCACACUGUAAACGAUGAUAACUAGGUGUUGGCCGAAUCUGGUCAGUGCCACAGCGAAAGCGUUAAGUUAUCCACCUGGGGAGUACGCCGGCAACGGUGAAACUCAAAGGAAUUGACGGG
rnacentral:rRNA from 1 species